GACGAACGCUGGCGGCGUGCUUAACACAUGCAAGUCGAACGGAAAGGCCCUGCUUUUGUGGGGUGCUCGAGUGGCGAACGGGUGAGUAACACGUGAGUAACCUGCCCUUGACUUUGGGAUAACUUCAGGAAACUGGGGCUAAUACCGGAUAGGAGCUCCUGCUGCAUGGUGGGGGUUGGAAAGUUUCGGCGGUUGGGGAUGGACUCGCGGCUUAUCAGCUUGUUGGUGGGGUAGUGGCUUACCAAGGCUUUGACGGGUAGCCGGCCUGAGAGGGUGACCGGUCACAUUGGGACUGAGAUACGGCCCAGACUCCUACGGGAGGCAGCAGUGGGGAAUAUUGCACAAUGGGCGGAAGCCUGAUGCAGCAACGCCGCGUGCGGGAUGACGGCCUUCGGGUUGUAAACCGCUUUCGCCUGCGACGAAGCGUGAGUGACGGUAAUGGGUAAAGAAGCACCGGCUAACUACGUG
rnacentral:rRNA from 1 species